AUUGAACGCUGGCGGCAGGCCUAACACAUGCAAGUCGAGCGGAUGAAGGGAGCUUGCUCCUGGAUUCAGCGGCGGACGGGUGAGUAAUGCCUAGGAAUCUGCCUGGUAGUGGGGGAUAACGUCCGGAAACGGGCGCUAAUACCGCAUACGUCCUGAGGGAGAAAGUGGGGGAUCUUCGGACCUCACGCUAUCAGAUGAGCCUAGGUCGGAUUAGCUAGUUGGUGGGGUAAAGGCCUACCAAGGCGACGAUCCGUAACUGGUCUGAGAGGAUGAUCAGUCACACUGGAACUGAGACACGGUCCAGACUCCUACGGGAGGCAGCAGUGGGGAAUAUUGGACAAUGGGCGAAAGCCUGAUCCAGCCAUGCCGCGUGUGUGAAGAAGGUCUUCGGAUUGUAAAGCACUUUAAGUUGGGAGGAAGGGCAGUGAGUUAAUACCUUGCUGUUUUGACGUUACCAACAGAAUAAGCACCGGCUAACUUCGUG
rnacentral:rRNA from 1 species